GUUAACGUUAAUUUUUCUCUGAUCGUUUACCGCAGUAGCAACGUGAUUAUUAUUUUGAAUAUAUUAGAAUGAUCUCAAUCGUGCAUUCAAACAAAAGGAUAUUCUACAAGCAAAUGUAAUUCCACCGAUGUCAAUUCAAUGGAAUUCAUAUAUAUACAGAGAUAAUUUUGCAGACAACAUGUUUAUGUAAUUUUUAAUAUUUCAUCAAUUUUAAAUGUUUUUUCUGAGAUUUUAUUUUCUUCUAUUAAGGUAAGUAA